UACUCACACAAUGUGUCUGAGGGGGCAACUGUUACUUGUCCAGUAAUAAGACUUCAGCAGUCUCAGAGGUAUUCUGGAACGGGUUUCUUCAAAGCAGCAGAUACUGUUUGCAGACUCAACUGCAUGAGGACCUGAAAAAGUAAGUUGCACAGCACAACACAGCAGCAGAAGCAGUAACGAAAUCUUCAGGACGAUCAUCAUUCUCAAGGUUUGAUAAACCACAUGAGAGAGUGAGAGUAUGUGAUGAACUUCUAGCACUCCA